GGGCACUCACUUGGGCCGCACACAUACUAAACUUGGAAAAACACAGAGAAUAUUAGCAUAUAGCCCGGGGCAAAGGGUGACACACAAAUCUGUGAGGCAGUCCAUCUUAAC